rnacentral:rRNA from 1 species
GUCUACGGCCGUACCACCCCGAAUGCGCCCGAUCUCGGACGCUAAGCAGGGUCGGGCCUGGUUAGUACUUGGAUGCGAGAUGUCUUUCCACACAGAUAACACUGUCUGGACUCUUCUUCUGCAGUAGGAA